rnacentral:rRNA from 1 species
AUAAUGCAGUCGAGCGAACUGAUUAGAAGCUUGCUUCUAUGACGUUAGCGGCGGACGGGUGAGUAACACGUGGGCAACCUGCCUGUAAGACUGGGAUAACUUCGGGAAACCGAAGCUAAUACCGGAUAGGAUCUUCUCCUUCAUGGGAGAUGAUUGAAAGAUGGUUUCGGCUAUCACUUACAGAUGGGCCCGCGGUGCAUUAGCUAGUUGGUGAGGUAACGGCUCACCAAGGCAACGAUGCAUAGCCGACCUGAGAGGGUGAUCGGCCACACUGGGACUGAGACACGGCCCAGACUCCUACGGGAGGCAGCAGUAGGGAAUCUUCCGCAAUGGACGAAAGUCUGACGGAGCAACGCCGCGUGAGUGAUGAAGGCUUUCGGGUCGUAAAACUCUGUUGUUAGGGAAAAACA